UGCCCCGUUAGUUCAGUGGUAGAGCUCCUGUAUUGGUGAGCUAAAGCGCCUAGCAAUAACUUUACGAGGUUGCAGGUUCGAAUCCUGCCGGUGCCG
rnacentral:tRNA from 1 species